AUUAGGAAUGACACUCAAUAGUUUCAAAUUUUCAACUUGCUCCAAAUAGCUUCAAAUAGCCCAGACUACGUAGCUUGAAUAGUUUCAUACUAUGGAGGAGGUGAUAAUGCAAGCAUGGUUUUUCAUUCCGGAUAACAUCCAGAUGUGGAUAUAGGAAGUGAUCAGACAUAGCUAUUUUAUGACAAAGCAUAUGAGAACUCAGGAUUGUGUACAUAAUACUUCUGCUACCCAUUUUUCCACAAAAAUUCUGUGAGGUGGGUUAUGCUGAAAAAGAGAACCUGGCCCCAAAUCACCCAACUGGCUUUCAUGCCAAGGAAGGACUAGAUUUCAGUAUUUGGAUUGCUAGGCCAUUACUUUCCCCACUACGUGACACUGUCUGUAUUAAAGGCUAAAGCCAGAUUAAAACCAUGGAAGAAAACAAAUAGCAGGUACAAAGAAGUGGAUCUACUGGUUUGAGGGAGUUUCUCCAUCCCUCCCCCCCAUAGCUGCGCUCUUCCACAUGGUUUACAUGCAACCAUCAACAUAAAACCUUUGCUAGCUCUGUUUGAUGGUGAUAGUUAUGCAAUGUUUAGAUUAAAAAUAUCAAGGUCAAGAUCUCCAAGGUGAUUACUAUUACUAGGAUUAAAAGCCAUGAUAUAUGGAUCAUGU